rfam:Gossypium raimondii chromosome 1, whole genome shotgun sequence.
GAUAAUAGGCUGCUCUUCCCCAUGAGCUCACAUCAAUGGAAAGGUUUGACACAUCAAUUUCGGCUCUUCGUCACUUGGGGUUGUAAUAUGUUCCAAGGGUUGGGUUGUUCGCCUAUUAAAGUGAUAUGUGAGCAGGGUUCAAAACAUCCUGAGACAGUUA